rnacentral:tRNA from 1 species
CAGGGAGUAGUUUAGAAAGAAUAUCAGCUUUGGGAGUUGAAGGCGGAAUUUAUGUUUCUUCCCUGA